AUACGUAGGCAGCAAGCGUUGUUCGGAGUUACUGGGCGUAAAGAGUAUGUAGGCGGUUGCGUAAGUUCGGUGUGAAAUCUCCCGGCUUAACUGGGAGGGUGCGCCGAAAACUGCGUGGCUUGAGUGUGGGAGAGGAGAGCGGAAUUCCUGGUGUAGCGGUGAAAUGCGUAGAUAUCAGGAGGAACACCGGCGGUGUAGACGGCUCUCUGGACCAUUACUGACGCUGAGAUACGAAAGCGUGGGUAGC
rnacentral:rRNA from 1 species